CCUACGGGGGGCAGCAGUCGGGAAUAUUGCGCAAUGGAGGAAACUCUGACGCAGUGACGCCGCGUGCAGGAAGAAGGUUUUCGUAUUGUAAGCUCUAUCAGCAGGGAAGAAAAAAGACGGUACCUGACUAAGAAGCCCCGGCUAACUACGUGCCAGCAGCCGCGGUAAUACGUAGGGGGCAAGCGUUAUCCGGAUUUACUGGGUGUAAAGGGAGCGUAGACGGCAUAGCAAGUCUGAAGUGAAAGCCCGUGGCUCAACCGCGGAACUGCUUUGGAAACUGUUAAGCUGGAGUACUGGAGAGGCAA
rnacentral:rRNA from 1 species